UAGGGAAUCUUCGGCAAUGGGGGCAACCCUGACCGAGCAACGCCGCGUGAGUGAAGAAGGUUUUCGGAUCGUAAAGCUCUGUUGUAAGAGAAGAACGAGUGUGAGAGUGGAAAGUUCACACUGUGACGGUAACUUACCAGAAAGGGACGGCUAACUACGUGCCAGCAGCCGCGGUAAUACGUAGGUCCCGAGCGUUAUCCGGAUUUAUUGGGCGUAAAGCGAGCGCAGGCGGUUAGAUAAGUCUGAAGUUAAAGGCUGUGGCUUAACCAUAGUACGCUUUGGAAACUGUUUAACUUGAGUGCAGAAGGGGAGAGUGGAAUUCCAUGUGUAGCGGUGAAAUGCGUAGAUAUAUGGAGGAACACCGGUGGCGAAAGCGGCUCUCUGGUCUGUAACUGACGCUGAGGCUCGAAAGCGUGGGGAGCAAACAGGAUUAGAUACCCUGGUAGUCCACGCCGUAAACGAUGAGUGCUAGGUGUUGGGUCCUUUCCGGGACUCAGUGCCGCAGCUAACGCAUUAAGCACUCCGCCUGAGGAGUACGACCGCAAGGUUG
rnacentral:rRNA from 1 species